rnacentral:rRNA from 1 species
AGUGGCGGACGGGUGAGUAACGCGUGAGAAUCUGCCUUGGGGUCGGGGACAACCACUGGAAACGGUGGCUAAUACCGGAUAAGCCGAUUGGUGAAAGAUUUAUUGCCCGAAGAGGAGCUCGCGUCUGAUUAGCUAGUUGGUGAGGUAAGAGCUCACCAAGGCAGCGAUCAGUAGCUGGUCUGAGAGGACGAUCAGCCACACUGGGACUGAGACACGGCCCAGACUCCUACGGGAGGCAGCAGUGGGGAAUUUUCCGCAAUGGGCGAAAGCCUGACGGAGCAAGACCGCGUGAGGGAGGAAGGCUCUUGGGUUGUAAACCUCUUUUCUCAGGGAAGAAGCUCUGACGGUACCUGAGGAAUCAGCCUCGGCUAACUCCGUGCCAGCAGCCGCGGUAAUACGGAGGAGGCAAGCGUUAUCCGGAAUUAUUGGGCGUAAAGCUCCGCAGGUGGCGAUUCAAGUCUGCUGUCAAAGCACGGGGCUUAACUCCGUAAAGGCAGUGGAAACUGAAUAGCUAGAGUGCCGUAGGGGUAGAGGGAAUUCCCGGUGUAGCGGUGAAAUGCGUAGAGAUCGGGAAGAACAUCGGUGGCGAAAGCGCUCUACUGGACGGCAACUGACACUCAGGGACGAAAGCUAGGGGAGCGAAUGGGAUUAGAUACCCC